rnacentral:lncRNA from 1 species
AGCAGCCCGUUUCACAGUCCCUGCUGUGAGUUAUCAGUCGACAUCUUAUUACAUGAAGUCUGAGCAGCUAUGACUCUGGACUAAUGGGGUUGAAGCCAAUCUAUUGUGAGGAAGGAUUCAUUAGAUGCUAAUUGCACAAAGAGUGUCCAAGUUAAUUCCCACCUCUUCUGUUUGUAUAUUCCUUGGCCCUAGACAGUAAUAGCAUAAAAAAAAAAAAAAUCCAUCUAUCUCCAUGGUAACAGAGGAAGCCAUAAAGAACCAAUAGAGCUUGACCAUGCUAGGGAGAGAGGAUCCUAGGUAGAUGGUAACUGCAUUUUAAACAGGGUGUCAGCUUUCAGAAUAAGAGCUUUAUGCUCAGGCUAUGAGAAGAGCUACAGGGACACUGGGCAUUCACCCCAGGGCUUGGUAACCACUUAAAAGAAUGCUAGGUGGUGAUAACAGCCCAGGCAAGAAAAGCAAGAUGUAGGUAGUAGUUACAUUGAGGGACUUUCCUGGCAGACCAGUGGUUAAGACUUCGACCUUCCACUGUAGGGAGCGUGGGUCCAUUCUUGGUUGGGGAACUAAGAUCCCCUGUGAUGCUCAAUGUGGCCAAAACCAACCAACCAAACAAAAAACUGAACUAGUUGCUGAAAUGCAGGAGGUUUCAGAAAAGGGACUAAGAAGUGGUUCAGGUUGCAUUCACUCACUCAGCCAGGAUACCCUGAUAUACUGUCUGUUCUGAUGGAGCGGUUUCAUCCCACACAGCAUAGGGAGGUAUUUACUCUUGGACUGCAGAUGGGAACAUCAAAAACAAAAACUUAGAAGCACAAAGGAAGACUAAGAAUCUUGCUUCAGGUCACACACUACAAAAGAAAAGAACGGAACUGAGCAUCCAUGGAUCUUGACCUUGAAAUGGGCUGCUUUCCUUCUCUGGGAUAGUUACAGUGACAUUUUCCAGUGAGUGAAUAUUCACUCUCUGCCAGGCUUGUUCUGCCUAUGGUCUUAGUUAAUCCUGGUAAGAUCCCUUGUGAGACAAGCAUUUCUAUUAUCACUUAUAAAUGAGGAUGAAGGACACAUUU